rnacentral:tRNA from 2 species
GGGCGCGUAGCUCAGGUGGUUAGAGCGCACGCCUGAUAAGCGUGAGGUCGGUGGUUCGAAUCCACUCGUGCCCA